GAUUUCCUAUCCCCUAUUAUCUGUUUUGUAGAUUAUGUGUAUGUGGUAGAUGAUAAGCAUCUAUCUAGUAAUGUCACUACUAGUUUAUGUCAUGAUGAAAUUGACGAAACUGUCGCGUACACGGAUGAUAAUUUGAGAAAAUAAAAGUUAUUGAGUGUAACCAAAUGUGUUGGUGUGCUGUUGGUAUUGGAAAACACAUCUUCAAUAUAAAGUUGAGAGCAAUGAGUAAAGUUGAGGUCAGUGUGUAAAUUAAAAGGUUUGGAAAAUCAAAUGAGAAAGAUGAUUGAACCCCUUUUGAAUCCUUUGCUUAUUUUUGUGUUUGCGUAUUUCCGUGUGGUAAUUCUGCUUGAAAAUGUAAUUGCUUUUCCUAAUGAUUAUGAUUUUUUUUAACAAAAUAGUUACUCCCAAUUUCUUUGUACGUAACUCUCUUCGUCAAUUGUAAACCCCCGGUGUCUUAGGUGUAGUCGCAAUUGGCGAAUGUUUGAGCUAUCUUAAAAAUACUUAUCACAAUAAAUAAUACCUUAUUUUUACUGAUAUCAAAGGUUGAACAAUUAAGUGGUUCCAGUUGCAUCAGAUAGUGGUAGUAUUCAGACACAAUAUGGAUUCAAUUGGAUUAUUCGUCAAUAAUACAAAGCAUUACACAUAGACUUUAUUGAAUAAUAAUAAUCAAAAGGUUCACAAUUACAAUAAUUAAAACUCAACAAAUUACAUAAGUCACAUAAUUGUAGAGCAAGUUCAUCUAAUAGGGUUUAACCUAAGGGAUUUAGCUACUCUUGUUACAAGAAAUCAUAACAACAUAGAUAAGAAAUCUUCAGCUCCUAGCACUCCAAAGUAGCAAAAUCCAUGUCUGAAUUUUUACCGAAGAAAAUUAUGGAAUCGCACAAUCUCAUUGCACCAUGCAUCAGGUGCAGUGUAACUUGCAAGGAAUAUUAGCUUCAUGAAACAUAGCUAGAACUUGCUGAUUUCUUCAAAGUUAUUAUUUUCUUCCAAUCCUUUUGUCCAAGUUCCGCUCCAUUCUUGUCACCAUAAUUUCUACCAUGAAAACA